rnacentral:rRNA from 1 species
CAAUACUUAGUGGCAGACGGGUGGGUAACAUGUAGGUAUCUGCCCUUUGGCCUGGAAUAACACGAGGAAACUUGUGCUAAUACCGGAUAAGUCUUUACGGAGAAAGCUUUAUGCACCAUUGGAUGAGCCUGCACUUGAUUAGUUUGUUGGUGGGGUAAUGGCCUACCAAGACUUUGAUCAAUAGCUGAUUUGAGAGGAUGAUCAGCCACAUUGGGACUGAGACACGGCCCAAACUUCUACGGGAGGCAGCAGUGGGGAAUCUUGCACAAUGGAGGAAACUCUGAUGCAGCGAUGCCGCGUGAGUGAAGAAGGCCCUUGGGUUGUAAAGCUCUUUCGUCGGGGAAGAAAAUGACUGUACCCGAAUAAGAAGGUCCGGCUAACUUCGUGCCAGCAGCCGCGGUAAUACGAAGGGACCUAGCGUAGUUCGGAAUUACUGGGCUUAAAGAGUUCGUAGGUGGUUGAAAAAGUUGGUGGUGAAAUCCCAGAGCUUAACUCUGGAACUGCCAUCAAAACUUUUCAGCUAGAGUAUGAUAGAGGAAAGCAGAAUUUCUAGUGUAGAGGUGAAAUUCGUAGAUAUUAGAAAGAAUACCAAUUGCGAAGGCAGCUUUCUGGAUCAUUACUGACACUGAGGAACGAAAGCAUGGGUAGCGAAGAGGAUUAGAUACCCUCGUAGUCCAUGCCGUAAACGAUGUGUGUUAGACGUUGGAGAUUUAUUUUCAGUGUCGCAGCGAAAGCGAUAAACACACCGCCUGGGGAGUACGACCGCAAGGUUAAAACUCAAAUGAACUG